rnacentral:tRNA from 1 species
CGGAGCGUAGCGCAGUCUGGUAGCGCAUCUGCUUUGGGAGCAGAGGGCCGCAGGUUCGAAUCCUGCCGCUCCGACCA